rnacentral:tRNA from 1 species
CAUUGAAUGGCUGAAAGGAAAGCAUUGGUCUCUUAAACCACCCCAUAGUAUACGAAUACUUUCAAUGA